rnacentral:rRNA from 1 species
CCUACGGGGGGCAGCAGUGGGGGAUAUUGCACAAUGGGGGGAACCCUGAUGCAGCGACGCCGCGUGGGUGAAGAAGCGCCUCGGCGCGUAAAGCCCUGUCAGCAGGGAAGAAAAUGACGGUACCUGAAGAAGAAGCCCCGGCUAACUACGUGCCAGCUGCCGCGGGAAUACGUAGGGGGCAAGCGUUAUCCGGAUUUCAUGGGUGUAAAGGGGGCGCAGACGGGGAUGCAAGCCAGGAGUGAAAGCCGGGGGCCCAAACCCGGGACUGCUCGUGGAACUGCGUGGCGGGAGUGCAGGAGGGGCAGGCGGAAUUCCUGGUGUAGCGGUGAAAUGCGUAGAUAUCAGGAGGAACACCGGUGGCGAAGGCGGCCUGCUGGACUGCAACUGACGUUGAGGCACGAAAGCGUGGGGAGCAAACAGGAUUAGAUACCCCUGUAGUC